rnacentral:rRNA from 1 species
ACGACGCUGGCGGCAGGCCUAACACAUGCAAGUCGAGCGAGGUAGCAAUACCUAGCGGCGGACGGGUUAGUAACGCGUGGGAACGUGCCCAAAGGUACGGAAUAGCCUCGGGAAACUGAGAGUAAUACCGUAUGUGCCCUUCGGGGGAAAGAUUUAUCGCCUUUGGAUCGGCCCGCGUUAGAUUAGGUAGUUGGUGGGGUAAUGGCCUACCAAGGCGACGAUCGUUAGCUGGUCUGAGAGGACGAUCAGCCACACUGGGACUGAGACACGGCCCAGACUCCUACGGGAGGCAGCAGUGGGGAAUAUUGGACAAUGGGCGCAAGCCUGAUCCAGCCAUGCCGCGUGAGUGAUGAAGGCCUUCGGGUUGUAAAGCUCUUUGGCGGGGACGAUGAUGACGGUACCCGCAGAAUAAGCCCCGGCUAACUUCGUG